rfam:Pteropus vampyrus cont1.329, whole genome shotgun sequence.
GGUGUUCUUAGGUUUGGAAAUAUAAAUCCCAGGAGGAGUAAGCUGAAGAACAUUUUAUGCAUCACUCAUUCUAUUAUGAGCCCUCUGCUGUUCCAUCUCUCUACAAGG